GACGAACGCUGGCGGCGUGCCUAAUACAUGCAAGUCGAACGCAGUGGGGGCGGGGGAGUAACACGUGGGUAACCUCCCAUCAGAGGGGGUAACACUUGGAAAAAGGUGCUAAAUCGAUACUGAUGGCUGGACCCGCGGUGCAUUAGCUAGUUGGUGAGGUAACGGCUCACCAAGGCUACGAUGCAUAGAGGACCUGAGAGGGUGAACGGCCAGACUGGGAGUGAGACAGGGCCCAGACUCUGACGGUGGGAAGCAGUGGGGAAUCGUCGGCAAGGGACGAAAGGCGGAUAGAGCAACGCGGCGGGAGUGAAGAAGGUUUGCGGAUCGUAAAACGCUGUAGUUAGGGGAGCGGUAUCAAACCAGAAAGCCACGGCUAACUACGUGCCAGCAGCCGCGGUAAUAC
rnacentral:rRNA from 1 species